CUCAGGGUAGUGAGAGCAACGGAGGCACGGAGGAGAGCCACAAUGGAUAAACUAACGGGCUACGGUAGGACCGCGCUUUGAUUUAUAAUCCGUAGAGAGAUACCAUCUCGUUUGCCAUCCACGAGAGACAAGUGAAAUAACGGUUAAGGGAUCUCACAACCUCGGAAAUAGACCACCAAUUCGACAUGGAUCCGUUGAGCAUCGACAGCGCCUUUUAGAAACCGGCUGCCUCCGCCUGCUUCAAAGGCGGAUUUGGGAUGAGAAGCGUUUAUCGUUUUCUGUACUGUCCUCUCUUCAUAGGUAAAUAAUCUGAUUUCAUUUCCUCGGUAAAAAGCUAUUCUAUAGGCUAGCCAUAUGCUUCUCAUCCUAUAUCGGAACCCUUACUGCUGCCUUCCACGCGGGUGCGCAGCCCUCCAUUGGAUGGCAAAAGAACCAGGACAAAUUUCCUCGCAUUGAAAAGUCCUGCUGGUGUUGACAACCUCCAGAGGAAGCCUCUUCCACCAGCCCUGAGCCCUUGGCCCUGAGUCCUGGGCCCUGAGUCCUGGGCCCUGAGUCCUGGGCCCUGGGCCCUGGCAGUCGGUCUAGAAGCACCAAUGGGAAUAGCAUAUCAGAUCCCAGGAUGUCAUGCAAGGCCUUCCUCAUUGGCAUCCUCUCCAGUCAAACACUGAGAAAUGAGGGCACUGAAGAAUCCCCCCUAAAGUUAAUGUUUGGAUAGAUUUACUGUAAGGACAAUGUUUGGAGUUAUUUGAAGACAUUGCUUGCAGGAGUUGCACAUGGAUUAUCUGCAGAUAUAUUGCACUUGGGUAAUCAAUGUUCCCCAGCUGAGAGUGAGUGUAUAGUUUCAACAUCAUUUUUAACAUUACAGCAAAAUGUAAAACAAUGUGUGUAUGAUGUUAAAUCAAAAGGGAUGUGAUCAACUUGUGUUCAUUCCUUAAUUUAAGGACGUGUGUGUGUGUGUGUGUGUGUGUGUGUGUGUGUGUGUGUGUGUGUGUGUGUGUGUGUGUGUGUGUGUGUGUGUGUGUGUGUGUGUGUGUGUGUGUGUGUGUGUGGUUUGGUCCCUAUUGUACUCUGUAGAGUACUCUGGAGUGUACUGGGCUUCAGAGAAGCACUACAGUGCCCUAAUGUGUGGGCUGUUUACAAGAGAAGCUCUCUGGAUGUCUAUCCUCUGUCAUGUGCAAUUAGUUACUUUAUGAAUAGAACUGACUACUCUAUGCAAAUAAAUGUGAAUGACUCACCCUCUGGCUGUAUUGCAAAUGUUGUUUAAUGUUUGACUGUCACAGUGAAAAGAAAGACAUUGUUUGGUGAAGAUUCCAUCCAUUUACUGUAUAUCCAUCAAAUGCUGCAUUUUUCCUAUUACAAAUAUUAUCUGCAUGUGUUCAUAGUGAUCAGGGAAUGUUCAACAUGAAAUGUGUUGGAUACAUUAUUGAAGCAGUCAGAUUAAUAGCCGUCUCAUUGCCUGAUUAUUACUAUUAUCCUUAUUCAGAGAGAUAGACAGUACAUACCUGCAGUAAAGAAAGGGACACAUACUUGUACACUAACAUCAUGCAAAGCAUGUUUUUGUAAUUGAGUUCUGACUUGUCAUGACUUCUGUGCUGUUGAAUUGAAUGUGUAUACAGAAUAAAUAAUUCAACAGAUGUCUAAAA
rnacentral:lncRNA from 1 species